AAACACGAAACCCCUCUCAUUUCUCAGUUCUCAACCCUAACUAUUCAUCUCUAUUUUAUCCAGAUACAAAAUUCUGCAAUGAGGUUUAGAACUUCAUGAAUUUCACACUCGGAUCUUGUUUCUCCUUGCACUACUCAUAUGCUUGCUGAAUUUCUCUAUUCGCCUUCAAUGGUUUUCCAUUUUAUCCCUUUCUUUGCCGAUAAUAUUGAGGAACAUUUUCAUUCCAACUUUGAUAGAGAUGCUAUAAAGGGCUCUUGAAUCUUCAAAAGGUAUUUCAUUGGCAAAUGGGCUAAGAGUUUAUUUUUUGGGAACUUUAUACAUACAACUAUUUCUCUGAAUUAAAUAAAUUAUUGUAAUGGUUUUGCUUUUGCUACAUAGCUUAUUGAACUUAAUAGGUAAUUAGGGAGUAGUAAUAAGUGGAUGUCUACUAAUCCAUUGUAUGUACUACGCACAUAUGACAUGCUUAAGUAAGAAAAUUCGACAAAUAUUAUACCUGGAAUUGAUUUUCCAUGUAAGAAGGGUUAGUGCACCGUGCCCCUAUGGCUGCUUCAAAGCCAGUGAUAUAUCUAUUAUUUUUUAACUACUGUUUUCUAUUGAGUUGUGCAAUUUCUGUCUUCUUUUUAAGGUUUAUCUAAAAUGUGUUAACUCUUGUUGCCAGCUUGUCAUCUUUAGACUUCAUAACGGAAGAGGUAUUUGUUUUACCCUUAUAUAUUUGUUCAUUUUAGAAGAAUGAACAACAAUACUUUGGGUUUAAUCACGCCACUUGUUAUUUUAUUUCCAUCACAUAGUUGGGUGCAAUUUUUAGUGUCAGGAUGGUGGUGGUACGGAUAAAGCACCUGCAUCAAAACACGAGCCCAUGAUAAAACAGGAGGUGCUACUAACUCUUGUUGGGGAAGUUAAUCAAGUGGCCCCUGUGAUGAAGAAGAAAUUUAGUCGUAAAUAGAGAGUAAGAAGAUCCUGGGAUUGAACAGACGAUCUUGGUGAGUCUGAAAUAGUACUGAUUAUCCUCUCUAAGGAAAUUCGUCAUCAAUGAGGUCUGCUGCUCUCUUUUACACAUGUUUGUUUUCUCACAUGUCUUUGUUUCCCUGUUAUUCUGCCUGAAAAUCUGAAAUUGAGGUCCUUAUGGUGCUUCAGUGUAAGAUAUUUUCAGAAAUUUAUUGAAUCAAGAAUGUAUUGUUCGAUUCUGUAAAUGUGCUAGAAAAAUUUGUAUUUUGGAAAAAUUUCAGAGCUGAAUUCAGAGCUGAAUUUCUGAUCUGAAGUUCAGAACUGAAUUUUAGAUCUGAAAAUCAGAUUUGAUACAUUUAUACUUAAGUCUUUGCUUAGCAUACUAAUCUGAUUUCAAUAUGUGUUUGAUCUUUCAUAUAAUCAAGUUCACUCUUAAGUUCUUGUAUGCUUAAAGCUUAUUUACAAUUGGUGAAUGAAAUGACUAUUUUAAGUUGUUAAUAAUCUGAUAGGAUUAAUGUGCUUCAAACGCAUCUGAAUGCACACAAAUUAUAUCUGAUGUGUUAGUAUAUUCUGGUAUUAAUUCAAUUAAUGUUGUUAAUCAAAUUGGUAGAAUUUUGUGUCUAUCUGAUGGGUUUUUGUAUCUAGUUGAUCUGCAAUUGUUACAACCUGUGAAAAAGUUAGGGAUUCUAAAGGGUGUUAAUGUUGUUGCUAGAAGGGUUUGUAGUGAAUCUGAAAAUUCUAAUUGGAUCAAUAAACAACGAGUUAGUAGUAGUGGAAGUAGUGUAGGUGGGAGGCUUAUGAAAAAGUUAGGUGGCGGGGUUAGAUUGAAUGGGGUGAGGUUUAAGGAAUUCAGUUCUAGGGGAGUGGAUAAUGAUGGUACCUACCUUUUUGUGGUGGCAAUGGGGAAGAAAGUGGUGUUCAUUGAGCUGAAUUCAGGCAGUAGUAAGCAUGAUCGAGAGGUCGAUGGGAAACGUGGGUUGUUCAUGGUUUUGAAGGAAAUGUCGUGUAUUGAUGGUGUGAAGAGUAUGGCUUGGCUUGAUGAUUCAUUGAUUUUAGGGACUUGUAAUGCUUAUAGUUUGAUGUCAUGUAUUACAGGGCAUGUUGAUUUGAUAUUUUCAUAGGGUGUAACAAUUGCAGAUCCAUGCAGAUCAAUUGCUGAGUUGGUGGUAUCCUGGUAUUUGGUAAUUCUGGUAUUUGAUUGCAGAUUAACUAGAUACAAAAACCCAUCUGGUAAUUCUGGUAUUUACAAUUCAUGUUGUUUGCCUAACACAGCUGCUAUUCCUUGUCUCAAAUUGUUGUCAAAAGAUAAGAAGGUGCUUCUACUAGUUGAUCAUGCGGGCAUUGUAGUGGAUAAUCAUGUGUUCUCCUCAUUCGAUUGAUUGGAAAAAGCAAUGUAGCUGCAACAAGAGAAUAGACUGGGACACUUGAGCAUUCAAGGCCUAUACAUAUGGAUAUCCCUUUCAAAGAUAUUUCCAAUGGUUAAGGUCGUUAUCCAAUGAUUCUCGAGACCCCUUCCCGAGUUUGGCAUUGAUUAGGAUAACUAAUGUUCUCUAUUUGAAGCUCAAGCAUGGAGAAGUGCAAGUUCUAUUUGACUUUGGGCCGUGCAUUCCAGCCGUUGGGGCACAAAUUCUCGUGUUGAACCCACCAUCGUGGUGAUUUUGAGUCUGCCAUGUCCCGUGUUUAUCAAAAGCAUUAAGUGCAGCAUCAAAGUGAGAGUAAACCCUCUCUUGCAAUAUCAAACUGACUUCACCUCUUUUGCUAUCAUUUCAACAUCAAUUUCAAUUGCCAACAUCAAGUUUUCAAAUCUAAAAUACAAAAAUUUCAGAGUUCUUUCCCCAAUUUAAUAAAAAAAAAAAUGGGACUUUUCAAAAUUUUGAAGUUUUGUGUUGAGGUUUGGGGCUUGUUUUUGGGAGUUUUAUAUGUUCUUACACCUUCAUUUUGAGAAUUUUUCAAGCAUUUCAAGGCUUCAUUGAGGUAUGGUUUCUUAUUGUCUAUUCAUCAUCUUCCUCUUUGAUUUAAGCUUGAAACUUUAUGCUUUCAUGGUGAAACUCUAUGGUUAGUUCUUUUCACUUGGAAUUUAUGUUGAAUGAUAUCGUUGGGUGUUGAAUUGAAGUUUCCUCAUGAUAAAUGUGUGACCUUUGAUUGAAUUCGUGAAUAACAAUUGUUGGCUAUUUUCUCUCUCA